GGGCCUGUAGCUCAGCCUGGUAGAGCAUCGGCCUUUUAAGCCGGGUGUCGCGGGUUCGAAUCCCGUCGGGCCCA
rnacentral:tRNA from 1 species